AAGUCGAACGAGGAAAGCACCNUUCGGGUGCCGGUACUAGUGGCGCACCGUUGAGUAACGCGUGGAUAAUCUGCCCUCUGGCGGGGAAUAACUAGUCGAAAGAUUAGCUAAUACCGCAUAAGACCACAGCUUCUGCGGAAGCAGUGGUUAAAGAUUUAUCACCAGAGGAUGAGUCCGCGUCCGAUUAGCUUGAUGGUGGGGUAACGGCCUACCAUAGCGACGAUCGGUAGCUGGUCUGAGAGGAUGAUCAGCCACACUGGAACUGAGACACGGUCCAGACUCCUACGGGAGGCAGCAGUAGGGAAUAUUGCGCAAUGGGGGAAACCCUGACGCAGCGACGCCGCGUGAGUGAUGAAGGCCUUCGGGUUGUAAAGCUCUGUUCUACAGGAACAAAAAAAUGAGUGUACUGUAGAAGAAAGGACCGGCUAACUCCGUGCCAGCAGCCGCGGUAAUACGGGGGGUCCUAGCGUUGUUCGGAAUCAUUGGGCGUAAAGCGGGUGUAGGCGGAUUAGUAAGUCAGAAGUGAAAGCCCCGGGCUCAACCCGGGAAGUGCUUUUGAUACUGCUAAUCUUGAGUGUGGGAGAGGGUAGUAGAAUUCCAGGUGUAGUGGUGAAAUACGUAGAUAUCUGGAGGAACACCGGUGGCGAAGGCGACUGCCUGGCCCAACACUGACGCUCAGACCCGAAAGCGUGGGUAGCAAACAGGAUUAGAUACCCUGGUAGUCCACGCCGUAAACACUGGACACUUGUUGUUGGAGGUAUUGACCCCUUCAGUGACGGAGCUAACGCGUUAAGUGUCCCGCCU
rnacentral:rRNA from 1 species